GACGAACGCUGGCGGCGCGCUUAACACAUGCAAGUCGAACGGAAAAGCCCUGCUUGGGUGGGGUGCUCGAGGGGCGAACGGGUGUGUAACACGUGAGUAACCUGCCCUUCACUGUGGGAUAACUUGAGGAAACUGGGGCUAACACAGGAUAGGAGCUCCUGCUGCAUGGAGGGGGGUGGAAAGUUUCGGCGGUUGGGGAUGGACUCGCGGCUUGUCAGCUUGUUGGUGGGGUAGUGGCUUACCAAGGCUUUGACGGGUAGCCGGCCUGAGAGGGUGACCGGCCACAUUGGGACUGAGAUACGGCCCAGACUCCUACGGGAGGCAGCAGUGGGGAAUAUUGCACAAUGGGCGGAAGCCUGAUGCAGCAACGCCGCGUGCGGGAUGACGGCCUUCGGGUUGUAAACCGCUUUCGCCUGUGACGAAGCGUGAGUGACGGUAAUGGGUAAAGAAGCACCGGCUAACUACGUG
rnacentral:rRNA from 1 species